AACUUAUUGAAAGCCCAUCUUUAAAUUCCCCAAAAUUAAUUAAAAGAAAUACAAAUACAAGUAAACCGAAGAAACAAUAGUGAAAACCCUACUUUCUAUUCAAAAUUCCAUGAAUUUCAUCUUUUUCGAUGCAGUGCCGCUGCGUCCUCUUCUUCUUCUUCUUGCGCUUUUCUUCUUUCUACAACGUCGCCCUUUUCAUUUUCUUCGCCUUCUUUCUGCAACGAAUUAUGUAUAGUUGAAAGCGUCGAUAGCCCCAGAUCGUUGAAGUGAAUGCGUUGAAAUUACAAUAGCAUCGGAAAUGUAGCACCGCUUCUGCUUCUUCUUCCCUUUUUCUUUCAUCGGAGUUAUUCAAGUUCUUUUAUCUCAAUUAAUAAGAGAAAAAGAAGAUUCAAGAAAAGUUCUUUAUGCAAGACAAAUUUGUUCAAUUUCUUACGCAGAUUGAAGUUAUUUUCUAUUCAAAAUUUCAUCUUCUCUUUAAUAUAGAAGAAAAAGAAAAAAGCGCAUUCAAGAUUUUGAAUUAGAAAAUUUCUUGGGUAAAACAAAUUUGUUCAAUUGCUUAAGAAAUUAUCGUCUGUCAUUUUCCUUUUUAUGAUGAAGAUUUUCAAUUAAUUUUGUU